AUUGAACGCUGGCGGCAGGCCUAACACAUGCAAGUCGAACGAGUGGCGGACGGGUGAGUACUGUCUGGGAACCUGCCUGAUGGAGGUCGAUAACUACUGUACACGUUACCUAAUACCGCAUACCAUCAGAUGUGCCCAGAUGGGAUGAGCUUGUUGGUGGGGUAACGGCUCACCAAGGCGACGAUCCCUAGCUUGUCUGAGAGGAUGACCAGCGAGACGGGAACUGAGACACGGUGCAGACGCCUAGGGGAGGGAGCAGUGGGGAAUAGUGCACAAUGGGGGAAAGCCAGAGGGAACAAGGGCGCGUGUAUGAAGAAGGCCUUCGGGUUGUAAAGUACUUACAGCGGGGAGGCGUUACCAGCAGAAGAAGGACAGGCUAACUCCGUGCCAGGAGCCGUGGUAAUUC
rnacentral:rRNA from 1 species